CUAGUAAUCGCAGAUCAGCAUGCUGCGGUGAAUACGUUCCCGGGCCUUGUACACACCGCCCGUCACACCAUGAGAGUCGAUAACACCCGAAGCCUGUAGUCUAACCAUAAGGGGGACGCAGUCGAAGGUGGGAUUGAUAAUUAGGGUGAAGUCGUAACAAGGUACC
rnacentral:rRNA from 1 species